rnacentral:ribozyme from 1 species
CUUGGCGCAUCUCGCAUGUGCCAUGACAGCAAAAAAAAAAAAAAAAAAAAAAAAAAAAAAAAAAAAAA